rnacentral:lncRNA from 1 species
CCCCGCGGCGCCCAGCGCCACCAGCGCCGCCGCGCAGGCGCCACCGCCCGCGGCACGCCGGGUCCUAGCGCCGCCCGCCGGGGAAGGCCCGGUGGGCCGAGGCGUGGGGGGCUCCGCCGGGUGUUUGGGGGCUCCCCCGGGUGGUGGGGGGCUCCGAGGGCCUGGGGGCCGUGUGUGGGCGCACUGAAGAGUGGGAGAGGCUCCGCUGCGCGCUGUGUGUUGUCCCCGAGGGGCAAUAUGGAAGUGGCGGCUUGGGGGGGGUGCCGAGGGGUGGUGAGAGUUUGGGCUUCGUUCGGCAGGACCCGAAAGCACUGUUGCAUCGGAAACAAAACGUCGCUGAAAUCGAACCCGAAUCUGGGCAUCCGCAGCCUGGUGCCGCUUCCACAUCUCCAGGCAGCAGAAAGCUCUCCUGGACUGGGAAAGUAAAAGAGUAAAGCAGCAAAUCUAGAAAUGCAGCCAUGUUGAAGAUAAUCAUUCAG